AAUGAUUUCUCAAUAGCCUGGACCAGGUCAAACAGUAUGAGGUUGAUCUUUCAAAAUUUGUUGGGUGAGAGUAUUUUUAUUUCAAUCACAUGCAGCUGGAGCUAUUGCAUGCUAUUUGCUGGCUAUUCUUUUCUCAAACACCUUUUGCUGGCCUAAGAGGGAUGCUUCUCCAACAAAUAAUACCUGUAUUCUCUAGCUGAAGGGCAGUCUCUCUGAGCAGGAGGGGAUGAUCUGACAUGAAUAAAUUACAGAAUGAAGUACGCUGUUCCAAGUCAAGGCGGCUGCGGCUCCCACUGCUCUCACCUCGAUGACCUUCCUUUGUGCUGAAGGUGUUAUACUUCCCACUGGAGUCUGCAGACUUUUUGUGAUGCUUGCCUCCCGGUGUGGUGGAACUUGGGCGCUGGAGAGUGGAUGAGAGGUUAGUCUGGGACCUCACCUCCAAGCUGUCUGGCCCUGAUGAUGCGGAGUCCAAUAGGGGACUCCGUCUUGGAGGAACUGCCGGAGGCUGAAGGUGCCGUGUCGGACUACGGGGUUUCUUCUGUAUCGUUCCUCCUGUGCUGGGCGAGACCGGGAAUUCUGUUUUCUCCUCAAGUAAAGGCUGGUACCCUUCCCUUGUGGCCACCAGAAGACGCAUGUGGCUCUCAUUAAGCCUUGGCCUUCCCUCGGGUGCUGUGUCCUCAUCUGAACUGUCCCGGAAGCCUGGCGGUGGAGCUGCGAUCGCGAGGUUGAGCGUCUGCAGCAGUGUGUCGUCUUCAUCGUCGUCAACGCCGUCGUCUCCCUCAGGAGGAGGCAGUGACGUCAGGUCGAUGAUGUCAUCGGUAGACCCAGACAGCGCGAGGAAGGUAGCUUUGCCGGCUGCUGUGGCUAUCCCGCCUCCUUGGUUACCGCAGUUUUCAUCUCCACCUCCUCUGUCGUCACCCACUGGUGUCCCCCCCAUGGAGUCUUCUUCGCAGGAAGCAUCGUCAUCAUCCUCUGCAUCAUCCGUUGUGUCACGAUAAAACAGAUCCCUUAGCAGUGGCUCCUCACCACCUUCCUCACUUAUAAUGUUACUAUAGACAUGCGUCAGACCACUGAACUGAAAUGGCACCCUGUCCUGUGGCUGAAAGUCUGUGUUGUUGUGCAAGUAGGGCGGUCUGUGCUCAGGUACCUCAGGACUCUCCAACAGUCUUUCAUAGCCUACGUUCUUGGCCUUGUUCAAGGGUGGGUCCCCUCCAAAAAUAAAUGACACUUUGGCGCUCCGAGGUGAGUCUUGAGGUUUGUGUCUGGUAGCAGGUGGAAGAGGAGGGGGCAACGGACUUCUCCGUGCCCCAAGGUCUCUGUCAGGGUUUUGAGGUUCGUGGAAGUAAGGAGAGAUGCUGUUUUCUCUCUGCCCAUUGUCUGAAUACUCAGAGUCCCUGUUAUAGACCUCUCCCUGGGUGGGUGAUGAUGGCUCCUCGUUGUCCCCCAAAGAUGUGCUGUACGGCCACUCCAGGACACGAUCCUGACCUGCAGACAGCAGCAAUACAAGAUGCUGCAGAGACUGCUAAUUUUGUCGAGGGUGCCUCAAGGGAGUGGAACACACACACACACACACACCUUGAUAGAGGUACUGCUGUCGAAGCGAAAAGACUUUGUCUGACCGUUCUCCAGGUAGACCUUCAGGACAUUUGGCAUGAACAGAAGAGAAUUGUCCUUCACCGGGUUCUACAAAGGGGGAAUACGACCAGUGUUUUCAUUCUGUGCAUUUGUGAUCACUUUGUGAACAGAGGACAAAUAUGGUUUAAUAUGUGAAAGGAACUCAUAAAUGUCAUGUCAUAACA